AUUUAACGCUAGCGGGAUGCCUUACACAUGCAAGUCGAACGGAGUGGCUAACGGGUGAGUAAUGUAUAGGAACGUGCCCAGUAGCGGGGGAUAACUACGCGAAAGCGUAGCUAAUACAGCAUACUAUUCAAGCAGCCGAUAUCGGAGUAGCUAGUUGGUGGGGUAACGGCUCACCAAGGCGACGAGCCGUACGUGGUUUGAGAGGACGACCAGCCAAACUGGAACUGAGAAACGGUCCAGACUCCUACGGGAUGAAGAAGUGGUGCAUUUUGGACAAUGGGGGAAACCCUGAUCCAGCCAUCCCGCGUGUGCGAUGAGGUCCGUCGGUUUGUAAAGCACUGUUGGCAGGCAAGCGUUUCCUGCAGAAUAAGCACCGGCGAACUACGUGCCAGCAGCCGCGGUAAUAC
rnacentral:rRNA from 1 species